rnacentral:rRNA from 1 species
GACGAACGCUGGCGGCGUGCCUAAUACAUGCAAGUCGAGCGAACAGAUGCGGCGCUUGCUCCUCUGUCGUUAGCGGAGGACGGGAGAGUCACACGUGGAUAACCUACCUAUCAGACUGGGAUAAUUUCGGGAAACCGGCGCUAAUACCGGAUAAUAUAUUGAACCGUAUGGUUCGAUAGUGAAAGUCGGUUUUGCUGUCUCUAAUCGCUGGAUCCGCGCCGCAUGAGCUAGUUGGUAAGGUAACGGCUUACCACGGCGACGAUGCGUAGCCGACCUGAGAGGGUGAUCGGCCACACUGGAACUGAGACGCGGACCAGAGUCCUACGGGAGGGAGCAGUAGGGAAUCGUCCGCAAUGGGGGAAAGCCUUACGGAGCAACCCGGCGUGAGUGAUGAAGGUCUUCGGAUCGGAAAGCUCGGUUAUGAGGGGAGAACAAAUGUGGAAGGAACUAUGCACGUAUUGACGGUACCGGGUCAGAAAGCCACGGCUAACUACGUG